rnacentral:lncRNA from 1 species
CAAAGAUCAUUGUAGCAGCAGAAUUCUGAUAAGAUGGAGGAAAGAAAAGCCAGAGUGAAGCAGACCAUUAGCAGAUAAUUGUCAUAAUCUUGAUACUAAAUGGAGACCAGAAUUAAGUUGAAGUCAGAAGGCAAAGGAUCCUUUGAUGUAGUCCAUUCAGAGCAGAAGGAGAAGAAUGCAGAGUGGAUCUGCAGGGACAAAUAGAAGAUGCAGCGCAAUGGAGAUACUGUUUAAUGCCGCAGGGGACCUGGGCUCUUUUCGUCUCUCCUAUGUAAAGAGAAUUUCCUCCAUCCAAGUAAAACUGAUGCGAUCGGUCAGCUUUCUAGACAACAGAAAUAAAUAAUUCUCUCUGUGAGGAAUGA